rfam:Pragia fontium strain 24613, complete genome.
GUUAACAGCCGCACAGGCUGCUUAGAAA